UCAGGAAGCCAUAUCAUCCUGAAUGCAACUAAUAUCACCUGAGUUUGGAAGCUCAAUAGGGUCAGGCCUGGUUAGCACUUGUAUGGUAGAACUUCAGGGCUGGAGAGAUGGCUUGGU
rnacentral:rRNA from 1 species